CGCGUAGGAAUCUACCCAGUAGUGGGGGACAACAGCUGGAAACAGCUGCUAAUACCGCAUACGCCCUACGGGGGAAAGCGGGGACCCUUCGGGCCUCGCGCUAUUGGAUGAGCCUGCGUUGGAUUAGCUUGUUGGUGAGGUAAAAGCUCACCAAGGCGACGAUCCAUAGCUGGUCUGAGAGGAUGAUCAGCCACACUGGAACUGAGACACGGUCCAGACUCCUACGGGAGGCAGCAGUGGGGAAUAUUGCGCAAUGGGGGAAACCCUGACGCAGCCAUGCCGCGUGUGUGAAGAAGGCCU
rnacentral:rRNA from 1 species